UACUAAAUAUGCACUCCCUUUUCAGCAACAAAAUGAAGGGAAUGGCUCCGCGUUCGAAGCAUCUCAACUCGCGCGUCGUUCUGCGUUUGCGUUCAGCUGUGCCCAGGCAGAAACGCUGCUGGCGGAGCGCUAUCUGCAGUCGUUGCCUUCGAUACUACUGUCCUACGCGCACGAGGAGCAACAGCACCAUUAGAAGAUGUCGAAGAUAUGGCAUCGGUUAGUGGUCAGCGAGUCUAGCCGGCUUGACUAAACAGCCACCAAGGGCUUGCGUGAGGAGAUCGAGAAAAUGAGUACAGGAAAUGGCAGGGAAGGCUAUCAAUUAGUACGCGAAAUGUUUGUUAAGAGGUUGCUGAAUUUCGAUUAGUGAUACGUAGAGUAUACAGUGUUAUAAAAGAGUAGUGUCAUCAGAUAGUAGUGUGCGUAUGAUCUUAAGAUACGCGAUAAGAAUAGAAUUUAGAUAAUUCAAAUGGAAUGGCUUCUUUCUUAGGAACCUAAGAUUCACUUGAGUUUUUGUUCAUAUUUUCAAAUUAAACUACUGUUAGAAACGUAAUAAAAUUGUAAAUCAUAAAAAG